AGGAAAGAGGUCAUGCAAAAGCAUAUCAAGUUUUCUGUACCACGUAUUGAUUAUCUUAUCUAACACAGAAGUCGACAGAGGGAGCCACAGUGAAAAAUGGAGCCAGCUCCGACGCUUGAAAAGAUUUUUCCUCAGACAGAUUAAAAGUUCUAUUUUUGACAGGAUGAAAGCAAGCUGCCAUUAAGAAAUUAAGCGAACAUAUCAGCUUUACUAUGCAGAGUGGAACGAUCUUCCAUUUACGUCUGACAGAUUUUGACUUGCAAUCCCAGCCGUCAUAAACCUUUGGCGCCAUCAAACAUGCUCAAGAAGAAACGGUUCAGAACUAACGGACAGAAAACGCUUGACAGAGAGGAGAACAAAUCGCUGACAAAGAACGCUUUCCGUUUCGCCAGCGUCGUUAAGACGACAAGGAAGAAUUCCUUAGAUAAUAACUCCCACUUCAAAGACUUCUGCCCUGAAUAGAGAAUGUACCAUCCUUUUUAUUCGGCCACAAGAGUUUUCACUAAAGAGGACUCGACUGUUUGGUUAUUUUUCGCUGUGUUUAUUUUUCUCCAUUCACUGGGUACUUGUAUAAAAUAAACAACAAGACAAUUACUAAAAGAAGGAUUCCUAACUUAUCUGCUCACAGGGUCGGGAUAGAACCUGCUGGGCUCCCUCUCCGAGGAGCCAAGCAGUUUGAUUCAGGCCAUCCCUAAUCCGCCUGAGAAUUCCUCCCAACCUCAAAAUAUUAAAGAUUAUGAUGAAGUGAAGAUUGACUGUACUAACCUAGCAUGAAACCAAAGGUCAACGCAAAUGUAUCUUAAUAGAGUGUCUCGAAUCUAGUGUGCCUCCUUUGAAGGCAGUUUGCUAUUGCCCCGUUCAUUACCAUAGCGAUCCUAGCGUGCGGUGCUGAGGCACCAUAAAAAUCCUACUUUGGAAUUCUAAAACCCGGCUCUUUGAACAGCCCGAGUCUGAUUAGAGUCCUUGUGUCUUUUAUUUUCUUUCUCAUUCUUUGGGGUUUGGUUUGGGGGGUGGGGGGUGUUUGGGAGCAGGGGAGAUCUCUCGACCUUUUAAAAGUUUAUGGAAAGUUUAACUCGCUCCCGGAUUAACUAUAUCAGAGAAGAAACAGGAAAUAAAAACUUAAUUGACAGUCUGAUAACUCAAACCGUCUUUUUUUUCCACCAGGAGCUGGGGGCACUGGUAUUAUUUAUGGUGUUACUGGAGUUUGGCGUAAGUCAUGUUUCGCGUGAGUUCUUUCUUUGGGGCGUCGAGCCUUCAGUAACAAUGAGCUGCACACCGUAAAAUAUAAUAUACGUAUUAUAAAUUUUACAUAAAUACACAGACACACAUAUAUAUGUAUAUAUAUAUGUAUACCAUAUAUACAAACUUGCUUACAUAUGGUCCUUAAGACGUACACAUUCCGUUCUUGAUGAAAAGACUGCACUAGCUCCAGACUUGGCUUUCAGUAUUUAAGUAUGACUUGUCUAUUGCCAUAGAAAUCCUAACUCACCGUGAAGAUUCACCGUUGCGAAGAAAUACUCUUUGUAGAUUUUUCUGCUUUGAUGUCUCCACAAGGAUAUUCAGUCUUUUGAAUUGUGAUUACUUGGAUUACCUAUAGCAACUGGAUGGAC